rnacentral:rRNA from 1 species
GAUGAACGCUGGCGGCGUGCCUAAUACAUGCAAGUCGAGCGAACAGACGAGGAGCUUGCUCCUCUGACGUUAGCGGCGGACGGGUGAGUAACACGUGGAUAACCUACCUAUAAGACUGGGAUAACUUCGGGAAACCGGAGCUAAUACCGGAUAAUAUAUUGAACCGCAUGGUUCAAUAGUGAAAGACGGUUUUGCUGUCACUUAUAGAUGUAUCCGCGCCGCAUUAGCGAGUUGGUAAGGUAACGGCUUACCAAGGCAACGAUGCGUAGCCGACCAGAGAGAGUGAUCGGCCACACUGGAACUGAGACACGGGCCAGACUCCUACGGGAGGCAGCAGUAGGGAAUCUUCCGCAAUGGGCGAAAGCCUGACGGAGCAACGCCGCGUGAGUGAUGAAGGUCUUCGGAUCGUAAAACUCUGUUAUUAGGGAAGAACAAAUGUGUAAGUAACUAUGCACGUCUUGACGGUACCUAAUCAGAAAGCCACGGCUAACUACGUG